GUGUGCUGUAGGGCCUAUCGCUCGUCGGUACUGGUGGAAGUGGUGGCUGCAAACUGUAUCUGUCGUUCAGGGCAGCUCUGUAUGUAGCUGAUUUAAAAGAAAUUAUUUGAAAGCUGAUCAACAAGUGAACAAGUUGUUAACCAGCUGUAAACAGGAUUCGAAACUAAGGAGGAGAGAGAAAGAGGAUAUUACAAAAAUGGAUUCGACUUCUAUGCCUCUUCCUCCUAAUCUAUCAAUUGAGCGUACUGUUGAUGAUGUAAUAAGUACUGCCGGUACUGCUGGUAUCCAGUUAGACCCCUCCUCAUCUCGUCCUGUCCAGCUGAUACAUUUUGGUGAUGGUGUUUCAGAUAGUGAGUUACAGCUGAUUGAAAUGCCUAACGACUUAUUGGAAGAAAUGAAAACCGGAAAGA